CCUACGGGUGGCUGCAGUGAGGAAUAUUGGUCAAUGGCCGUGAGCCUGAACCAGCCAAGUCGCGUGAAGGAUGACUGCUCUAUGGGUUGUAAACUUCUUUUAUAAAGGAAUAAAGUUAUCCACGUGUGGCUAUUUGCAUGUACCCUAUGAAUAAGCAUCGGCUAACUCCGUGCCAGCAGCCGCGGUAAUACGGAGGAUGCGAGCGUUAUCCGGAUUUAUUGGGUUUAAAGGGUGCGUAGGUGGGUUGUUAAGUCAGCGGUGAAAGUUUGCGGCUCAACCGUAAAAUUGCAGUUGAUACUGGCAGCCUUGAGUGCGGUUGAGGUAGGCGGAAUGCGUGGUGUAGCGGUGAAAUGCUUAGAUAUCACGAAGAACUCCGAUUGCGAAGGCAGCUUACUAAGCUACCACUGACAUUGAUGCUCGAAAGUGUGGGUAUCAAACAGGAUUAGAUACCCGGGUAGUC
rnacentral:rRNA from 1 species